ensembl:lncRNA
UGGAGAGAUAGUUCUAUUAUUCACCUUUUCAAAGUGCAGAACAAGCUUCAAUUUUACUGAGUAGGCUCAACAAAUUUACAUCAUCAUUUAAUUAAAUGUUUGUAGCAAUAAUUAACCUCAGGAGUAAGUAAUUUGGUAAUAAAUAUAUUUCACCGUUCCUAAAUAGUAGCUUACUGAGUCUGAAAAGCUAUUCAUUGCCUGUUAGUUUUGCCACAAGUCUCAUCAACGAUUCACUUAAAUGCAUAUUCCAUUGUAAAAUGGACAGAAGGACAUUUAACAAUAGAGAUUUCACCACAUCACUGAAAACAGAAAAUAAAACAAAUUUCUCUGGAAUUCUUUUCUUUUCCAUGAUAUAUGAACAUUGAGAUAUGAAAAAGAAAAAAGAAAAAAAAGGAAAAAAUGAUUUAUUUAGUGUCUUCACGUUUUUCCUAUAUUUUUUACAUGCUUAAAUAGUUUUGUUUGUGUCUCAAUUUGAGUUCAGUAAUGUUUCAAUUAAGAAUGUAGGAGCUUCUAUUAGUUUUGAUGAAAUGCGUAGAUAACCUCUAGAAACCAAAAUUGACAUACAUUUUACAAAUUUUCUCCUCCAAACUAUUGAUUUAUUACUCUGUUGUUCUUUUUUUUUAAAAAAAAAAAUCUAUGAGCUGAAUUCAGAGGUGAUGUGUAAACUGUGUAAUUGAGAGUCCUUUAUGCUCAGUUAGACACCUUAAGACCUACUUAUACUCGCUUACUAAAGUCAGUGAAAUGGAGUAUAAAUUGAUGUGAUUUGCAUGUGGUGGAGCUGGAAGAGUAAGAAGAUAUUACUUAUAGGAGGGAAUAGACUUUUUAUGGGCACUUUCUUAUAUUCAGCUGGUUCUCUUGCUACACCUCUGUCCCUCUGAGUAAACACAUUUGCAUCUGCCUGCUUAAGCUACUGUGCAUUCAGUAAGAAUUUCUGUGCCAAAGUCACAGAUGAUAUGUAAGAAGUGUUAGAAGUUGUGUUCUGGGGAGUAUGAAGUUUAUAAAUAACUAAGUAAAGGCUCUGGUUCACAUUCUGUUUUGCAGCUACCUGUAAAGACUGAAAACAUUUCUUGUGUGAGAUACUUGCUCUGUCUUCUAUUGGGAAGGGUUCUGCAUGCAGUACACCCAACAAGUUAUGCCCUGGUGACUUGUUUGACAAGUUGGCAGGUAAAAGGAUUCCUUCUGAAGAUAACUGGUGAGCUAGACGAGUAAAGCAGAUCCAAAGCCACCGUUCAGACCUUCAGGAAUCACAGACCACAGCCUGUCUGUUGAUGUGCCUCAAAAGGCAACUUCUGUCUAACAGCAUUGCAUGAGAACACAGCUAACCAUUUGCUCAGUGCUUUCACUGUUUGCAGAGUGCAUCCUGGACAAGUGACAUCUCUCUUCCCUGCUUUGACUGUUUAGGUAGUCUUAAAAGGGCUAAAGCAAAUGACAGUAGUUAUUUUUUAUUAUUAUUAUUUUUUUAUGUUGUAUAUCUAUUAGUUCACAGUUUGAUUUGAUUUGAAGUCUGACUAUUGCCUCUUGGUACUUUAUGAGCUGACUCAAAAAGGUGAACGGAUAAGUAUGAAACUUGUACCAAAAGCAGAAGAGGAAAACAGCUAGCACAAGGCAUAUGGUGUGGCAGGAACAGCUGCACUAAGAGUCUUUUUUAUUUGUGAUUGAGUUAAUGAGAAAUAACUCAUAGAGGGAUGGUGGAAGUCUGAAGAGGUACCACAUUGUUGCAGCAAUGGCUUUUCUGGUUGCUUUUUAAAUAUUGGCCUGCACUAGUCUUUUCAACAGUGUUUACAUUACUGAAAACUGAAAAAAAUGCAUAAAUUCCAGGAAUAAGUUAGAAAUGCAUUUAUAAAUUUAUUCUCUAGAACUGUUCUAGAAAGAAUCUGUAAGUGAUUUCUGAAGGCUCCUCACAUUCAUAAAACCCCUAUAAAAAGAUCCAUUUGUAUGUCCAGUGUAUUUUUUACAUUGGUUUUUCUGCCUUCUGAGUACAUUAAAUUUAUAAUCUCAUAUGCUGUAGAUAAGAAUCCAAAUUAGUCCUUUGACAGUUUUUCUUUGAAUAUCAUUAGAUGUGGUAAUUAUGAGUAGAGAAAUAUCAGUUCCUGGACUUAGAGUCAAUUACAAAGGGGAUCAGCUAUAGGACACACAAGUUAUAAGUGAAUGGAAACAGUGAUUCCGGUCACCAUUCCCUUCACAACUGGUGACUCUGCUCACAUAUUAAGUUCUCAUAAAGAAAGAAUGAAUUAAGCUCAGAAUUUCACUGAAGCAAAAACUGUAUCUUGAACUUUACUCUGAACUUUUGGUCCCAAAGAGAUAAUGCUCUUCUUGCUGCCGCUGAACUCCUAAGCUACAUGUAAAAUCUAGACAGUUAUCUCUGCACUGUCUUCUCAAGAGAAAACUUUAUAUUGUGUGCCCAUUAGGAAAAGAUAGAAUUGGAAAAAAUAUUUCAAACAAAGCUUAGAAAUCAGUCAUUCUUCUUAUCUACAUAUCCCUAGCUAUAGCCUGACUGGUGGAAGAGAAGAAAAUUGCUUAAGUACCUUUGAGGAUAUUGCUGUAAGACAUUAAUGUUGCUUCUUUUGGCAUAAUGACAUAGAUAAAAAAGAUGAACAACAAAUAUCAACUUAUCAGAGACCUCAGGAGAGAUAGAUGCUUUCAUUCAACUUGUUUGUAUAAAUAAUUUCACCUGCUUUUUCCAGUUUCCCCAUCUCUUAUACAGCUCUAGUUACUUUUACCUGUCAGAAAGGGUCUUCUAUGGAUCACCCUCAUGAACUGCGCUUUCAUGCAUUCAACAUUGUCAGAUAUUUUAGUAACUAAUAACAUUGUAAUUUCAUAAUUGUGAUUGCAAAAAUACAGUAGGGAUAGAUUUUACAGUUAUUUAAAAGGGUGACUUCUGAAAGUUUUCUGCUGCUUCACUGCUUCUCUGUUCCUACAGUGACAUGGAUUUCCUAAGAAAAUCCUUGAUCCUUAGAGACCAGAUCACAUGAUCUCAUGCUGCAUAUCUCCACUCUAAACCAAGAAGUUCUGAUCCACUUACUGUUGAUGUUAGUUUGUACUGAGGAAUGUUGUUUCACUGCGUUGUUGUUUCAAAUGAGUUCUCAUUUUACUUUUCCCUUAACGUUCUUUGGAAUAACUAUAGUAUGAACUCGUGAACAAAAACUACUAGGUUUCAUCACAAAUAGACAAAUUCUUAACUAAAUAUAGUCAGAAAUAAUGAUUAAUUUGCCUGAAAUAAAUUGUAUACAAAAAUGAUGGGACAGGAGGAUAAGGUUCCAGACAUUCUAUAGCAUAAUUCUAUUUCAGUUGGUUAUUGAUUAUGAUGACAGCAAGGGCAAGAUCAAGUCUUUCAUAUCUCUUGAAGAGAAAUUGUCUUAAAAUACAUAAUCUUAAUAUAAUUUUGAGGAAAUAUAUAUUCACUCAUCUGACUCAACUUAACUUUGUUCCUUUUCCCCUUAGCCUUCUUGCAAGGUUCUGAAAACAAAACAAAACAGGAAAGAUGUAUCAUAUAUAUACCUUUUAAAUGUUGGAGGAGCAAAAUUUCUUCAGUGUUAAAUUGCUUUGUUAUUAAUAGAGGAAUUCUAACUCUGGUGCACUGGGUCUGUGAAAUGGAAACAAGAAGUUUCUUUGGUUGUUAAUGAUAAUUCAUGAGUGAUUUUUAGUCUGAAUAACAAAGCUGUAAGUACAGACUUAGGACCUUAGCGAUUCAAUAAAUUAAGGCAUGUCAGCUCAAUUUAUAGCUUUUUUCAUAGCUUUUCUAACAAUUUGCAGCCAUGUAAUCUUCCAAGUGCUGCAUAUCAUUGUGCAAGCAAUGUAAAAUAUGUCCACUUAAAUAGAAAGCAUGAAGCAUUGUACCAGGGUGCUUCUGUCAUACUUACUUCCUGUUUCCAAGAUCCAGAUUUAAAGCCUUCCUUGACAGAAUUACCAAUGUUCUUUUCUCCUAAGGAAAUGAAAUUAUGCUUAUCAGAUUUCCUUCAAGGGUGAGGUUUUGAAAUACCAUAUCCUUCCUUUUUACACAACUAGAAUUCUGGGAGUGGCUUUUUUUUUCUGUGUUUUUUGAUACUGGUGUUCUGGCUUCACUACGUUACCUUCUAAUUUGUAGUGAUUUCAAUGAGGAGAGAUUCAGGUCUGUCAUGCUGGUGAUUUACAUGAACAACUCCUUGUUCCAUAUGCAACACUGGUAUAACUUUUGAUGGGAAAGAAUUCACAGUACCUGACCUAUUUACCACUUUUUUAUUCCAUUUCUUGAGAUAAAAGUGUUGUAUAGAUGAAUCACAGACAGCAGAGUAUGCAUGUUUGGUUACUGUGUCACUUUCAGUUCAUCAUGAAGAAAAAUCUUUUCUAAUCAUCUAGCCUUUUACUUAAUAACACUUUUGAUAAAUUGCUUGUAUACAGUAGGUUAUCAAACCCAAACAUUAAAGACUUCAGUUUGACACUGCAGGAAUGAAUCAUACUGAAAAAAAAAAAAAAAAAAAAAAAAAAGGCCAAAUUUACAAUUCUUCAUCUGGAGUAAAAAAAUAAAAAAAAAAUCAUGUCAGUCUAAAGACCUGCAGUAAUGACUCAGAAAAAGAUUUUAGGUCGGUCCCAAGGAAUUUAAAGAUAUACUUGAAGCAGAACUGUUCAUUUCAACAACAUUUCAGAUCUAUUUACUACUAAGUUUCAGUGCUCUCUAUAGAUCACUGCUCUGUACUUAAUCGUAUGACACCAUUAGGAAAGUUUUCCUUAUAUUCUUUUUCUUUUAUUAUUUUUUAAUUAAUCCAUUCCCAUUUCUUAUACCUUUUUGACUUUUCCUCCUGUUGUAGCUGUCACACUUAAAAAUAUAUGAGUGACAACAAGUUUGACAGCCUCUGGGACAGUGAGGCACUGAGCAGAAGAAAGCAUCCUCAGCAUGUUCACAGAGUCAAUAGGGAUAGCGGCAUGGAUAGCAGUGAUAUAUAUUCCUGUCAGCUAAGAGUGGCUCAGUGUAAAGUGAGUGCAGACAUACUUUUCCUCACAACAAAGGAAGGAAACACUGAAGAAACGUUUACUAGAUUGCUAGUUGAAAGAUUACAAUGAUUUCCAAUUUAUAAAAUAAGACUCCAUUCAGAGUACUUUGUAGAUGGACCUGCUCCUCAUUUCUGUUACUUUUACACUGUAAAGAUGUCUUACCAUGGCUGUAUGCAUAAUUUAUUUGAACUUUAUUGUCUUUUAUGCUGCUGGAACAUUGCGCUGAGGCUUCAGUAUAAAUAAAAACUAAGUGCCAGCAUGUGUCAUUAAAGCUUUCAUUGGGCUAAAUUAGAAAUCCUCCUCUCAAGAAAGGAGAUCAUGGAAACAAAACUACUUAAUAGGGUAACCCUUACAGCACAAGGGAAAUACUUUGUUCAAUUUCCCUAUGGCUCAAGCAUGUCCUGCUUUUAGGUGUGUGUGCACAUGCAUGUGCAAGCCUAGCUGCUUCUUGUACAUUUAAGUGUAACUUUAACAACUGCUGAGUCCUGGGUACAAAAAGACCAUCCAAGGAAAUAUCAUUAAUGCAAUUGUAUCUGGUCCAUUUGUUAGGGAAAGGUAGGGAGAUAUAUGCUGUAAUUUGGUGUCAGGCACAGGAGAGUAGCUAUCUGUUUGGAGGUCAGCACCUGUGGAGAAGGAAUCUACCAGCUGUUUCAAUCUCUCCUAAUUUUUAAAAACAAAAAUGCAGUUCUCAUUUCAGUUUGCAUUACAAUGUGCUCCAUUUUCCCUGCCACAAAGUUAAUAAUCCUUGGUAGCUGAAUGAAGCAGAGCACUUACCAUGUUUAUUGUCUCUAUUAAACCACACCACCAAAUGUGACCAAACAUUCUGAGGUUGCAACAAAAAGCACAUUUUCAUUCUGAUUGAGCACCAUAACAACCUCGUAAAAAAAAAGAAAUCACAAGUUUGUUUUGUUACAGGUAGCCUAUUUAAAUCUGGUGGGUGAAAGCCUCAAAGAUAUGUGUCUGAAAAAGAGCCAGUAUCUGUGUUUGCAGUGGAGUGCAGGGGCCCAAGCUCCUGUCUUGUGCUCCCCCAGCCAAGUUAUAUCUCACAGAGCUAAACUGGUGAUGAAUACACUAUGGAAUUUGCUUUGCAAAACAAAUAUUUGACUUCCUACAGACCACUGAAGACUUGAUAAAACUUAGAAGUGACACCUAACAAAUUUGCCUUUUUAAUCAAAGAGUUUUUUUAUUCCUUUCAUCAAACUAUAAAAUUGUAAAUGCU